GAGGGUAUAGCUCAGCGGUAGAGUGCAUGCUUAGCAUGCAAACAUCCUGGGUUCAAUCCCCAGUACCUCCA
rnacentral:tRNA from 1 species